CUACGUGCCAGCAGCCGCGGUAAUACGUAGGGUGCGAGCGUUAAUCGGAAUUACUGGGCGUAAAGCGAGCGCAGACGGUUACUUAAGCAGGAUGUGAAAUCCCCGGGCUCAACCUGGGAACUGCGUUYUGAACUGGGUGACUAGAGUGUGUCAGAGGGAGGUAGAAUUCCACGUGUAGCAGUGAAAUGCGUAGAGAUGUGGAGGAAUACCGAUGGCGAAGGCAGCCUCCUGGGAUAACACUGACGUUCAUGCUCGAAAGCGUGGGUAGCAAACAGGAUUAGAUACCCUGGUAGUCCACGCCCUAAACGAUGUCAAUUAGCUGUUGGGCAACUUGAUUGCUUAGUAGCGUAGCUAACGCGUGAAAUUGACCGCCUGGGGAGUACGGUCGCAAGAUUAAAACUCAAAGGAAUUGACGGGGACCCGCACAAGCGGUGGAGUAUGUGGUUUAAUUCGACGCAACGCGAAGAACCUUACCAGGUCUUGACAU
rnacentral:rRNA from 1 species